rnacentral:rRNA from 1 species
AUCUAUGUCUAUACUACCCCUGAAUAUAGUUGACCUCACUGGAUGUGAGAUGUUAAGCAUGGUUGGGUCUGGUUAGUAUUUGGAUGGCAGAUCGCUUAGAAGUAGUGAAUGCUGUAGCCU